rnacentral:tRNA from 1 species
GCUGAAAUAGCUCAGUUGGGAGAGCGUUAGAGUGAAGAUCUAAAGGUCCCUGGUUCAUAACGGGUUUCGGCA